rnacentral:rRNA from 1 species
UACAGAGGGGGCAAGCGUUGUUCGGAAUUACUGGGCGUAAAGAGCGUGUAGGCGGCCAUACAGGUCAGCUGUGAAAACUCGAGGCUCAACCUCGAGACGUCGGUUGAAACCGUAUGGCUAGAGUCCGGAAGAGGAGAGUGGAAUUCCCGGUGUAGCGGUGAAAUGCGCAGAUAUCGGGAAGAACACCCGUGGCGAAGGCGGCUCUCUGGGACGGUACUGACGCUGAGACGCGAAAAGCGUGGGGGAGCGAACAGGG